rnacentral:rRNA from 1 species
UACAGAGGGGGCAAGCGUUGUUCGGAAUUACUGGGCGUAAAGGGCGCGUAGGCGGCCUGUUAAGUCGAACGUGAAAUCCCUGGGCUCAACCCAGGAACUGCGUCCGAUACUGGCAGGCUUGAAUUCGGGAGAGGGAUGCGGAAUUCCAGGUGUAGCGGUGAAAUGCGUAGAUAUCAGGAGGAACACCGGUGGCGAAGGCGGGUCUCUGGGCCGAUUUUGACGCUGAGGAGCGAGAGCGUGGGGAGCGAACAGG